AGUUAAAAUUUUAGUUCUUCAAAAUCAACUCUAACAAAAUCUAUGGCCACAUUCAGAAGCUGCAGAAAGCGGUGAACACUUUCUAUCUCCAAAAGAGUUGCCAAGACAUCUUUUUCCCCGUUUCCUCAGACUAGGAGCAAAAGGCUAGACAACUAAUCUACAGUCGGAGCUUUCCUUUUGGUAAAUUUGUCUUUCUCCUCUAAGCUCAGUUUUACUCCUGGCCUGUUUUCUUGAUUAUAGUUAAGAAUCUUGGGGCAUUCAAGUCCUCACCUAAAGAAAGGCUAAUGAGGGAAGGAGCAAAGAUGUACUUUCUUGCUAUAGGUAUUUGUGUGCUGUGUGAAAUGUCUCAGUUAAUUUUUUAAAAAAGGAAACACUCUAGCUUGUUUAAUGGAUCCUCAAAAUUGAAGGAGCCUUUUUCUUCUCAGUUAACUGACCCAUAAGGAAAACUAGAGAAUUUUUAGUGA
rnacentral:lncRNA from 1 species